AGAUUAAGUUAUUAAGGGCGCACGGUGGAUGCCUUGGCACUAGAAGCCGAUGAAGGACGUUACUAACGACGAUAUGCUUUGGGGAGCUGUAAGUAAGCUUUGAUCCAGAGAUUUCCGAAUGGGGAAACCCAGCAUGAGUUAUGUCAUGUUAUCGAUAUGUGAAUACAUAGCAUAUCAGAAGGCACACCCGGAGAACUGAAACAUCUUAGUACCCGGAGGAAGAGAAAGAAAAUUCGAUUCCCUUAGUAGCGGCGAGCGAAACGGGAAGAGCCCAAACCAACAAGCUUGCUUGUUGGGGUUGUAGGACACUCUAUACGGAGUUACAAAGGACGACAUUAGACGAAUCAUCUGGAAAGAUGAAUCAAAGAAGGUAAUAAUCCUGUAGUCGAAAAUGUUGUCUCUCUUGAGUGGAUCCUGAGUACGACGGAGCACGUGAAAUUCCGUCGGAAUCUGGGAGGACCAUCUCCUAAGGCUAAAUACUCUCUAGUGACCGAUAGUGAACCAGUACCGUGAGGGAAAGGUGAAAAGCACCCCGGAAGGGGAGGGAAAUAGAACCUGAAGCCGUGUGAUUAAAACUAGUCAA
rnacentral:rRNA from 1 species